CCUUUAGUGCUCUGUUCACCUUUCAGUACAUUCGUCUCAAAUCGGCCGAUUCCGUACCCUCAUGGAGAGUAGCGGAUUCUAACGAGGAUUGCCGAAUGUUUUCGAAAGUAUCAGGAAGGAAUGGCUAUCAAAUAGUUGCAUGGAGUACUAUUUUUGUUAUUGUAUAAUAACAUAAUAUCCAGGAAACAAAAUGUCAAUUACUAAUGUCGGUCCAUUUAUG
rnacentral:lncRNA from 1 species